rnacentral:tRNA from 1 species
AAAAUCCUCGACUUUUAAAAUCGUGAGGGUUCAAGUCCCUCUAUCCCCAAAGUCCCCCUAUCCCC